rnacentral:rRNA from 1 species
GACGUAGGGGGCGAGCGUUGUCCGGAUUUAUUGGGCGUAAAGAGCUCGUAGGCGGCUUGUCGCGUCGGAUGUGAAAGCCCGGGGCUUAACUCCGGGUCUGCAUUCGAUACGGGCAGGCUAGAGUUCGGUAGGGGAGAUCGGAAUUCCUGGUGUAGCGGUGAAAUGCGCAGAUAUCAGGAGGAACACCGGUGGCGAAGGCGGAUCUCUGGGCCGAUACUGACGCUGAGGAGCGAAAGCGUGGGGAGCGAACAGG